rnacentral:rRNA from 1 species
UACAGAGGGUGCAAGCGUUGCUCGGAUUUACUGGGCGUAAAGCGUACGCAGACGGCCACGCAGGUCGGGUGUGAAAGCCCCGGGCUCAACCCGGGAAUUGCAUUCGAAACCAUGUGGCUCGAGUGUGGGAGAGGGUAGUGGAAUUCCUGGUGUAGAGGUGAAAUUCGUAGAUAUCAGGAGGAACAUCGGCGGCGAAGGCGGCUACCUGGUCCACAACUGACGUUCAGGUACGAAAGCGUGGGGAGCAAACAGG